rnacentral:rRNA from 1 species
CCCUUAGAUGUUCUGGGCCGCACGCGCGCUACACUGAUGCAUUCAACAAGCCUAGCCUUGACCGAGAGGUCCGGGUAAUCUUUGAAACUGCAUCGUGAUGGGGCUAGAUUAUUGCAAUUAUUAAUCUUCAACGAGGAAUGCCUAGUAAGCGUGAUUCAUCAAAUCGCGUUGAUUACGUCCCUGCCCUUUGUACACACCGCCCGUCGCUCCUACCGAUUGAACGUUUUAGUGAGCUCCUCGGAUUGUCAGCCUGGCGGUUAAUCCUGCCUGGCUAGCGAAAAGACGAGCAAACUUGAGCGUUUAGAGGAAGUAAAAGUCGUAACA